rnacentral:tRNA from 1 species
GGGCGUGUAGCUCAGUUGGGAGAGCACCACAAUGGCAUUGUGGGGGUCACGAGUUCAAGUCUCGUCACGUCCA